rnacentral:rRNA from 1 species
GACGAACGCUGGCGGCGUGCUUAACACAUGCAAGUCGAACGGAAAGGCCCUGCUUUUGUGGGGUGCUCGAGUGGCGAACGGGUGAGUAACACGUGAGUAACCUGCCCUUGACUUUGGGAUAACUUCAGGAAACUGGGGCUAAUACCGGAUAGGAGCUCCUGCUGCAUGGUGGGGGUUGGAAAGUUUCGGCGGUUGGGGAUGGACUCGCGGCUUAUCAGCUUGUUGGUGGGGUAGUGGCUUACCAAGGCUUUGACGGGUAGCCGGCCUGAGAGGGUGACCGGCAACAUUGGGACUGAGAUACGGCCCAGACUCAUACGGGAGGCAGCAGUGGGGAAUAUUGCAAAAUGGGCGGAAGCCUGAUGCAGCAACGCCGCGUGCGGGAUGACGGCCUUCGGGUUGUAAACCGCUUUCGCCUGUGACGAAGCGUGAGUGACGGUAAUGGGUAAAGAAGCACCGGCUAACUACGUG